GAUGAACGCUGGCGGCGUGCCUAAUACAUGCAAGUCGAGCGAACAGACGAGGAGCUUGCUCCUCUGACGUUAGCGGCGGACGGGUGAGUAACACGUGGAUAACCUACCUAUAAGACGGGGAUAACUUCGGGAAACCGGAGCUAAUACCGGAUAACAUGUUGAACCGUAUGGUUUAACAGUGAAAGACGGUCUUGCUGUCACUUAUCGAUGGAUCCGCGCCGCAUUAGCUAGUUGGUAAGGUAACGGCUUACCAAGGCAACGAUGCGUAGCCGACCUGAGAGGGUGAUCGGCCACACUGGAACUGAGACACGGUCCAGACUCCUACGGGAGGCAGCAGUAGGGAAUCUUCCGCAAUGGGCGAAAGCCUGACGGAGCGACGCCGCGUGAGUGAAGAAGGUCUUCGGAUCGUAAAACUCUGUUAUUAGGGAAGAACAAAUGUGUAAGUAACUAUGCACGUCUUGACGGUACCUAAUCAGAAAGCCACGGCUAACUACGUG
rnacentral:rRNA from 1 species